rnacentral:rRNA from 1 species
CCUACGGGCGGCAGCAGUGAGGAAUAUUGGUCAAUGGGCGCGAGCCUGAACCAGCCAAGUAGCGUGAAGGAUGACUGCCCUACGGGUUGUAAACUUCUUUUAUAAAGGAAUAAAGUGAGGCACGUGUGCCUUUUCGUACGUACUUUAUGAAUAAGGAUCGGCUAACUCCGUGCCAGCAGCCGCGGUAAUACGGAGGAUCCGAGCGGUAUCCGGAUUUAUUGGGUUUAACGGGAGCCUAGAUGGGUUUUUAAGUCAGUUGUGAAAGUUUGCGGCUCAACCGUAAAAUUGCAAUUGAUACUGGCAGUCUUGAGUACAGUUGAGGUAGGCGGAAUUCGUGGUGUAGCGGUGAAAUGCGUAGAUAUCACGAAGAACACCGAUUGCGAAGGCAGCUUACUAAGCUGCCACUGACAUUGAUGCUCGAAAGUGUGGGUAUCAAACAGGAUUAGAUACCCCAGUAGUC